GACGAACGCUGGCGGCGUGCUUAACACAUGCAAGUCGAACGGAAAGGCCCUGCUUUUGUGGGGUGCUCGAGUGGCGAACGGGUGAGUAACACGUGAGUAACCUGCCCUUGACUGUGGGAUAACUUCAGGAAACUGGGGCUAAUACCAGAUAGGAGCUCCUGCUGCAUGGUGGGGGUUGGAAAGUUUCGGCGGUUGGGGAUGGACUCGCGGCUUAUCAGCUUGUUGGUGGGGUAGUGGCUUACCAAGGCUUUGACGGGUAGCCGGCCUGAGAGGGUGACCGGCCACAUUGGGACUGAGAUACGGCCCAGACUCCUACGGGAGGCAGCAGUGGGGAAUAUUGCACAAUGGGCGGAAGCCUGAUGCAGCAACGCCGCGUGCGGGAUGACGGCCUUCGGGUUGUAAACCGCUUUCGCCUGUGACGAAGCGUGAGUGACGGUAAUGGGUAAAGAAGCACCGGCUAACUACGUG
rnacentral:rRNA from 1 species